rnacentral:rRNA from 1 species
GGUCUCGGCAUUCCUGCUGAACCGCUCUUCCGAUCUGGUUAAAACUCAAAUGAAUUGACGGGGGCCCGCACAAGCGGUGGAGCAUGUGGUUUAAUUCGAUGCAACGCGAAGAACCUUACCUGGUCUUGACAUCCACGGAAGUUUUCAGAGAUGAGAAUGUGCCUUCGGGAACCGUGAGACAGGUGCUGCAUGGCUGUCGUCAGCUCGUGUUGUGAAAUGUUGGGUUAAGUCCCGCAACGAGCGCAACCCUUAUCCUUUGUUGCCAGCGGUCCGGCCGGGAACUCAAAGGAGACUGCCAGUGAUAAACUGGAGGAAGGUGGGGAUGACGUCAAGUCAUCAUGGCCCUUACGACCAGGGCUACACACGUGCUACAAUGGCGCAUACAAAGAGAAGCGACCUCGCGAGAGCAAGCGGACCUCAUAAAGUGCGUCGUAGUCCGGAUUGGAGUCUGCAACUCGACUCCAUGAAGUCGGAAUCGCUAGUAAUCGUGGAUCAGAAUGCCACGGUGAAUACGUUCCCGGGCCUUGUACACACCGCCCGUCACACCAUGGGAGUGGGUUGCAAAAGAAGUAGGUAGCUUAACCUUCGGGAGGGCGCUUACCACUUUGUGAUUCAUGACUGGGGUGAAGUCGUAACAAGGUAACCGUAGGGGAACCUGCGGUUG